UUUUGGGAGCUAUCGACUC
rnacentral:snRNA from 1 species